AUCCCUUCUCUGCCUAUUAGCUAAAAUCAAAUGUGGUAUCUGUUCUUAUCAGUUAAAGCAUCUGAUGUGUUCUCCAUCUGUGUACUGGACAUUAAAUUAAUGUUUGGAAUCAGGAGAUGGAUUGCGGUGUCACUCUACCCACUCCUUGCCUCAGCUCGGAAUUGAAUUACUUUUAGGAAUGGUGCAUUCCUU
ensembl:snRNA U2 U2 spliceosomal RNA